CAGCGCCCCAAGUGGGAGCCGUUUUUAUUGGGCCUAAAGCGUCCGUAGCAGGUCAAGCAAAUCUUUCGUGAAAUUGUUCAGCUUAACUGAACAGCGUGCGGGAGACACUACUUGGCUAGGGACCGGGAGGAGUGAGAGGUAUUCUGGGGGGAGCGGUAAAAUGCUAUAAUCCCCGGAGGACCACCGAUGGCGAAGGCAUCUCACCAGAACGGAUCCGACUGUGAGGGACGAAAGCCAGGGGAGCGAACCGGAUUAGAUACCCGAGUAGUCC
rnacentral:rRNA from 1 species